rnacentral:rRNA from 1 species
GCAGGCGCGAAAACUUUACAAUGCGGGAAACCGUGAUAAGGGGACACCGAGUGCCAGCAUCAUAUGCUGGCUGUCCAGAUGUGUAAAAUACAUCUGUUAGCAAGGGCCGGGCAAGACCGGUGCCAGCCGCCGCGGUAACACCGGCGGCCCGAGUGGUGAUCGUGAUUAUUGGGUCUAAAGGGUCCGUAGCCGGUUUGGUCAGUCCUCCGGGAAAUCUGAUGGCUCAACCAUUAGGCUUUCGGGGGAUACUGCCAGGCUUGGAACCGGGAGAGGUAAGAGGUACUACAGGGGUAGGAGUGAAAUCUUGUAAUCCCUGUGAGACCACCUGUGGCGAAGGCGUCUUACCAGAACGGGUUCGGCGGUGAGGGACGAAAGCUGGGGGCACGAACCGGAUUAGAUACCCGGGUAGUCCCAGCCGUAAACGAUGCUCGCUAGGUGUCAGGCAUGGCGCGACCGUGUCUGGUGCCGCAGGGAAGCCGUGAAGCGAGCCACCUGGGAAGUACGGCCGCAAGGCUGAAACUUAAAGGAAUUGGCGGGGGAGCACAACAACGGGUGGAGCCUGCGGUUUAAUUGGACUCAACGCCGGACAACUCACCGGGGACGAC